rnacentral:rRNA from 1 species
GAUGAACGCUAGCGGCAGGCCUAACACAUGCAAGUCGAGGGGCAGCACAGAAACAGCAAUGUUUUGGUGGCGACCGGCGGACGGGUGCGUAACGCGUAUGCAACCUACCUUUAACAGGGGGAUAACGGAGAGAAAUUUCCACUAAUACCCCAUAACAUCGAUCAAGGCAUCUUGAUUGGUUGAAAACUCCGGUGGUUAAAGAUGGGCAUGUGUUGUAUUAGGUAGUUGGUGAGGUAAUGGCUCACCAAGCCUACGAUACAUAGGGGGACUGAGAGGUUAGCCCCCAACACUGGUACUGAGACCCGGACCAGACUCCUACGGGAGGCAGCAGUGAGGAAUAUUGGUCAAUGGGGGCAACCCUGAACCAGCCAUGCCGCGUGCAGGAAGACGGCUCUAUGAGUUGUAAACUGCUUUUAAACAGGGAUAAAGCACAGUAUGUAUACAGUGUUGAAGGUACUGUAAGAAUAAGGAUCGGCUAACUCCGUGCCAGCCGCCGCCGUAA